AUUGAUGAGUGAAGAAAGGAAGAACUGAGGUGGGAACUCAGGAGACAUGCUGCUGCCUCCUGGAGAACAUCUAUUGCAUUGAAUCUUUGUCUUAGUAUUGAAUGAAGACCAAGGAAUAUCUCAAGAGUGAAGGAAGGGAUGCAAUACCUUGUGCAGAGGGAAGAGCAUGUUUGAAAACAAUAAGGUGAUGCUGCGGCAUGUCAGGAAGAGUUUCCUGAGGAAGGAUAUUUAAUCUGAGACCUGAAGGAUUGGUUUCUCCAGAUAUAGACACUGAGACGGAGGUCUGUGUAGAAGAUGCACACCAGGAAUCAAAACCUGUAAAAGGAAGUAGAAAGAAGCAGAAUUGGACAAAGUGAGAAAUCAAACUGUAAUUCAGACUUGCCGAAGUCUUGACCAACUCUACUGGGGAGCUCUGA